UACGAAGGGGCAAGCGUUGUUCGGAAUUACUGGGCGUAAAGGGCGCGCAGGCGGCCGAUCAAGUCAGAUGUGAAAGCCCCGGGCUCAACCUGGGAAUAGCAUUUGGGACUGGUCGGCUAGAGUUCGGGAGAGGAGAGUGGAAUUCCCAGUGUAGAGGUGAAAUUCGUAGAUAUUGGGAAGAACACCGGUGGCGAAGGCGGCUCUCUGGACCGACACUGACGCUGAGGCGGCGAAAAGCGUGGGGAGCAAACAGG
rnacentral:rRNA from 1 species